GAUGAACGCUGGCGGCGUGCCUAACACAUGCAAGUCGAGCGGCAGCGAGGGGUGCUUGCACCCUGUCGGCGAGCGGCGGACGGCUGAGUAACGCGUGGGAACGUGCCCCAAAGUGAGGAAUAACUGCCCGAAAGGGUAGCUAAUACCACAUAUUAUCUUCGGAUCAAAGGAUUUAUCCGCUUUGGGAGCGGCUCGCGUCGGAUUAGGUAGUUGGUGAGGUAAUGGCUCACCAAGCCGACGAUCCGUAGCUGGUCUGAGAGGAUGACCAGCCAGACUGGAACUGAGACACGGUCCAGACUCCUACGGGAGGCAGCAGUGAGGAAUCUUCCACAAUGGGCGAAAGCCUGAUGGAGCAACGCCGCGUGCAGGACGAAGGCCUUCGGGUUGUAAACUGCUUUUAUAAGUGAGGAAUAUGACGGUAACUUAUGAAUAAGGAUCGGCUAACUACGUG
rnacentral:rRNA from 1 species